GAUCCUGGCUCAGGAUGAACGCUAGCGACAGGCUUAACACACGCAAGUCGAGGGGCAGCGGGGUGUAGCAAUACACCGCCGGCGACCGGCGCACGGGUGAGUAACGCGUAUGCAACUUGCCUAUCAGAGGGGGAUAACCCGGCGAAAGUCGGACUAAUACCGCAUGAAGCAGGGAUCCCGCAUGGGAAUAUUUGCUAAAGAUUCAUCGCUGAUAGAUAGGCAUGCGUUCCAUUAGG
rnacentral:rRNA from 1 species